CAAACAUCUAAGAUCGGAGAAGACGAAAUAGUAUACAAAAUCAUCAUCUACUUCAAGUUCAGUAACAAAAAAAAAUCACAGCAACAUCAACAUGCAACUUUGAUAUCGGAGAAAGCCAAAUCUUCUGUCGACGAUUGCCUUUCGACUCAACUCUGCGCGACAAACAUCUAAGAUCGGAGAAGACGAACUAGUAUACAAAAUCAACAUCUACUUCAAGUUCAGUAACCAAAAACAAUAUCACAGCAACUUCGAUACAAAUCUAAACUCUGAGG
rnacentral:lncRNA from 1 species